rnacentral:lncRNA from 1 species
CCGCGGCGCCGAGGUGGAAAUGCGCUCUCACCGUAGAUCCCAACGAGACGCAUCUUAAUCCAACGACAACUUCGCUCAGGGCGCACACGAAGAGGAGGGUGCUGGUGAAGACGAUGCACAGUCCUUUCCCACUCAACUUCAUUAUAUUCCACCUCUGCCGCUCUCGAGCCCUCUUUCCCCUUCUUCAUCCUCCUUCGUCUCCUCUGGAAGCACUCUCACAUUGGGACAUCAUCUGCCGGUGACUCCUCCGGUUCAGAGCGGGCAAUCCUCGCCACUGUGGCGUCUCUCUCGCAUCCCCACCGCUUUACAGGAAUAUAUAAAUAACUAAUGCCUCCUUUUUUUGCACUUAUCGAUAAUCCAUAAACAGACAAUGAUCACUUUACGCUAGAUCACCUAACCGCCCAUCAGACUCUUCUUGAGGAAAAGUUUUUCCUUUUUUCCUUCUCCUAAAGAGAGAGUCUCAUCUGUAGUCCGCCGAAUCGUCUGAUGGAAUGGUGUGUGGCGUUUUUGUGGCAGAGAAGGAGGCGGCUGCUUGAGCCGGAGAGGCUCGAGGGUCCUGCGGACCAAUGACCGAUGACCCGCAGGCCUUUUAAAUCGCUGCAACACUCCGACAGGGACUUUAAAUGUGUCUAAUGUUCCCCGUGGGGACUUUAUAGCGACGUGGUGGUAAAUGAAAAGUCCUGCUGGCUGGCAGCGGGGGUGUGUCGCUCCCUUGGCAGCGCUGAGGAUGUCAACACCAUCACCAUCAACAAUAGGACGGACUGGAAGCCAUCCCCUCACAUCUUCUGACCCAGACACACCAAGCCUUGGCAAGAAAAAACACCGCCUUCUGUUACAAUCAGUGCUGGGAUGAAGAAGAAGAUGAUGAUGAUAAUGAUGAUGAUCCCACUAUGACUGUGGUUCACUACUAGGAAGGAAGAGAUGUUAUGAUAUUAAUCACAUGUGGGAGGUUAACAAAAAAUAUCUGCAUGAAAUAUUUUUAUAUAAAAGAUUAUUGUGUUAUGAAAGAGUAACAGUGUAGAUACAUGACGAGCGAGAGACGGGUGUGGCAUGCAACAAAAGUCCACAAAGAAGUUAUUCUAUAUUUUUCUUAUUGCCAACUAAUGUUGUGUAAAGACACGAAGACGAAGGAAAAGCAAAAUGAUUUAUUGGAUCAAACUGAGAGAAUAGAUCGACCGUAAAAAUGUAAUUCCCACACAUAUACUUCUUCUUCUUGUUUUCUGUAUUGCUUUGGAUCACGGUUUGUUUGUUUGGCUACAUAUUCAUCUGUAGGUUUUAUAUGUUAUAAAUGUUGAAAUCAUCAAUGAAAACUAAACUGAAAAAAAGGGGCCAGAA